rnacentral:rRNA from 1 species
UACGUAGGGGGCAAGCGUUGUCCGGAUUUAUUGGGCGUAAAGAGCGUGUAGGCGGCCAAGCAGGUCCGCUGUGAAAACUCGAGGCUCAACCUCGAGAGGUCGGUGGAAACCGUUUGGCUAGAGUCCGGAAGAGGAGAGUGGAAUUCCCGGUGUAGCGGUGAAAUGCGCAGAUAUCGGGAAGAACACCCGUGGCGAAGGCGGCUCUCUGGGACGGUACUGACGCUGAGACGCGAAAGCGUGGGGGAGCGAACAGG